rnacentral:rRNA from 1 species
AUGAACGCUGGCGGCGUGCCUAAUCCCUGCCAGUCGAGCGAACAGACGAGGAGCUUGCUCCUCUGACGUUAGCGGCGGACGGGUGAGUAACACGUGGAUAACCUACCUAUAAGACUGGGAUAACUUCGGGAAACCGGAGCUAAUACCGGAUAAUAUAUUGAACCGCAUGGUUCAAUAGUGAAAGACGGUUUUGCUGUCACUUAUAGAUGGAUCCGCGCCGCAUUAGCUAGUUGGUAAGGUAACGGCUUACCAAGGCAACGAUGCGUAGCCGACCUGAGAGGGUGAUCGGCCACACUGGCACUGAGACACGGUCCAGACUCCUACGGGAGGCAGCAGUAGGGAAUCUUCCGCAAUGGGCGAAAGCUUGACGGAGCAACGCCGCGUGAGUGAUGAAGGUCUUCGGAUCGUAAAACUCUGUUAUUAGGGAAGAACAAAUGUGUAAGUAACUAUGCACGUCUGGACGGUACCUAAGCAGAAAGCCACGGCUAACUACGU